rnacentral:lncRNA from 1 species
GGGGGGGAUCGGCAUCGCGGCUGCUCAGUGCUGGGGCCGAGCCCGGUCACUCAUGGCUGCGGGACGGAGAGAGGGAGAGGUGAGGAUGGAAGGGAGAGCUGCAGGAGGAACGUGGCCACGCGGACAGCGCCGCGACGCCUCGCCCCCCGGGGCUACGGCCGUGGGAGGCCCCCGGGGUGCUGCACCCACGGGAUCUGCACCCGGAGCUGCCUCGGCCCCGGCCCCACGGCCCCGGCGCGUCCCCAAACCCGCCUCGACGUGCUGCGGGCGCCCCAAGCUCCCCUCGAGGGCCGAGCGGCCGCGGAUCCGCAGCAGGGACUGAGCGGGGCCGGGAGGGAGCCCGGGAGCACCACGAGGGGCCGGGACCCGGCCCGUGCCUCCGACGGCAGCCACCCGACGGCGGUGGCGGCGAAGGGAAUAGGAAUGUGGUGACGUGGAGCCGCUCAGGGUCCCCGUUUCGGGGGCAGACCGAGGGGUGAGGGGGGAACAAACGCCCCCCCCCGAAGCCACAGGCUCCUUCCCCCAGGAAAAGCCCCGCCGUGAACGCCUUUACCCCAGAAGCUCCUUUACAACCCCGGCGACGGAAGGCAGGCGCCCGCGCCCUCUGUAAGGGCUCCUGUCGGGUGUUUAAACCUCAGACCCCCUUCUCGGCCUCGGCUCCCGCUGGAUAAACUACGGUUCACUACUGCCGCGGCGCACGGAGCCUAAAAUAAGACAGGGCCCGUCCCCGGGCUGGCCGGCCCCGCAGACAACGGGGCCCCGCGGUGCUGCUGCGGCUCCCCCUGCCCCCGAGCCCGGCAGCAGAGCUCGGCGGCGAGAAAAUAACCGCGGAAAGCACCCGAACGAGAAGGGGCUCCGCCGCUGAGCCAGCGGGUGAGGGCAGGAGCCACCCCUGCAGCCCUCGGGAUCGCCAGGUCCCUCGGGGCACCUCCACAGGGCCCUCUCCCCCCCCUCGAGGGGUCCCCUCAGCCCCCCGAGCCGCACCUUGCUGCCGAAACGCGCCCCGCCGGGCUCUGAGGGGGGGGGGACGCUGCGCCGAGGCGGCCCGGCAGCCCCACGCGGGGCUGUGGCGUUCGCGGCCAGGCGGGAUCGCAGCCAGCGCGGCACGGGCGCGCCGGGGAGCUGCCGGGACGGGUCCGAGCAGGAGGAGAUCCUUCCCCGUGUGCUCCUUCUCCCUGCUCCUUCUCUUUGUGCUGCUUCUUCCUCCUCCUUCCUCGGCUCCUUCCCUGGCUUCUUCCCCAGAUCCUUCUCCAUGUGCUCCUUCUCCUUGCUCCUUCCCCAUGCUCCUUCCCUGUGCGCUUCUUGCUCCUUCCCUGUGUGCUUCUUCUCCCUCCUCCUUCCUCGGUUCCUUCCUCGUGCUCCUUCCCUCUGUACUCCUUCCCCGUGCUCCUUCUCCUUGCUCCUUCUCCUUGCUCCUUCCCCGUGCGCUUCUUCUCCGUCCUUCCUCGGCUCCUUCCUCAGCUCCUUCCCCGGUUCCUUCCCUGCCCGCAGCAGGAUCGCGUCCCCAGGGGGCUGCGAAGCGCGGUGUCAGGAGGGGACGGCCGGAGCCAGCCGGGCUGGAGGUGCUUAGCAGAGCUGCUGCCGAGAAGCACGGCCGGUAACCAGGCUCCUGACUCGGGGAUCGGGGCUCCUGACUCAGUCCCGUGUGUCACGGACCCGAGCCAGCACCGCUGGCCGUCACCUCCGCCACCAACCCACAUCCCCCAGGGCCACCUCCCGGGGUGCAGCCGGGGAGGAGAGGGGGCAUUUCCCCGCCCCGGGAGCCCCUUGGGGGGGAGAAUAUAUUUACCCGCGCCCGGGUAGAGGCUGCGAGCUGGCAGAGCGCGGGAGGAGGGCAGGGAGGAGCUGAACCCGAAGCAGCUCGGGGAGAAACCGGCACCGAGCCCCCGGGAAGCGGGGCGCUGCGGCUCGGCCCCGCUCGGAUGAAAGGCAAAAAGCAAGAAGCAAAAAGCAGAAAGCAAAAAAAAAAAAAGCAAGAAGCAGAAAGCAAGAAGCAGCCAGGCCGGAGGAAGGGGGCUGAGCGGUGCUGAGACCCCGGUGGGAGCGCUGGGGCCGUCCCCCCCCGCCUUCAGGCCACAGCCCCGAGAUCUCUGACAGUCCUGGGAGCAGCCGUGGAUGGCGAAGGGCAGGGAGACGCGACCCAAAUCCUCCGGGGGUGAAAAAAAGCCCCCCCAGUGCCGCUCAGCGCCCCUCGCUGCCUCGCGUUUGCCGUGCAGAGACCUCCCGGGACGCGGCGGCCGCCCCGCGGCUCCCCCCCACCGUGGGGCCCUCCCCGUGCCCACCCCCGGGGGGGUUUCGGGGGCUCCCGGUGCCGUGGCAGCCCCCUGAGCUCAUGGGGAAAGGCCCGAGGCGGGGGCAAAAACCCCAAAAAGCGACGCCCAGCGGCGUGUCCCCCCCCCCCCAAAAACACCCGAAUUCGCUCAGCAGCUGCCAUCCUCCAGCAGGACGCGCGCCCGGCUCAGCCCAGGGCCCCCCCUCGGAUGCUUCAAACGGCCCCGAUUUCGGGGGCUGAACCCGCUGGUGGCUCCCAGAGGUGCCCGCUCAGCACCCAGGGCCCGCUCAGCACCCCGGGCCGCCCCCUGCGGGCACCCUACAAGCCCC